GCCGAAAUAGCUCAAGUGGUAGAGCAACUGACUUGUAAUCAGUAGGUUACGGGUUCAAGUCCUGUUUUCGGCACCA
rnacentral:tRNA from 1 species